CAAGUCGAACGGGAUUGAUUGUAGCAAUACGGUCAUGAGAGUGGCGCACGGGUGCGUAACACGUAUGCAACCUACCUAUAACUGGGGGAUAGCCUCCCGAAAGGGAGAUUAACACCGCAUAACAUUAUGAAGUGGCAUCACUUUAUAAUUAAAUCUACGGAGGUUAUAGAUGGGCAUGCGUCCGAUUAGCUAGUUGGUGAGGUAACGGCUCACCAAGGCUCCGAUCGGUAGAGGGUCUGAGAGGAUGAUCCCCCACACUGGUACUGAGACACGGACCAGACUCCUACGGGAGGCAGCAGUAAGGAAUAUUGGACAAUGGGCGCAAGCCUGAUCCAGCCAUGCCGCGUGAAGGAUGAAGGCCCUAUGGGUCGUAAACUUCUUUUAUACGGGACAAAACCCCCCGAUGCGUCGGGGGUUGAUGGUACUGUAAGAAUAAGGGUCGGCUAACUUCGUGCCAGCAGCCGCGGUAAUACGAAGGACCCGAGCGUUAUCCGGAUUUAUUGGGUUUAAAGGGUGCGUAGGCGGACUAGUAAGUCAGUGGUGAAAGCCCAUCGCUUAGCGGUGGAACUGCCAUUGAUACUGCUAGUCUUGAGUAUGGUUGAGGUGGGCGGAAUGUGUCAUGUAGCGGUGAAAUGCUUAGAUAUGACCCAGAACACCAAUUGCGAAGGCAGCUCGCUAAGCCAUAACUGACGCUGAUGCACGAAAGCGUGGGGAGCAAACAGGAUUAGAUACCCUGGUAGUCCACGCCCUAAACUAUGAUAACUCGUUGUUGGCGAUACACAGUCAGCGACUAAGCGAAAGCAUUAAGUUAUCCACCUGGGAAGUACGACCGCAAGGUUGAAACUCAAAGGAAUUGACGGGGGCCCGCACAAGCGGAGGA
rnacentral:rRNA from 1 species